CAAACUGCAGGAUAGGUGGGCGGAGCUAUGUCCAGGUGUGCUGCAGGUGGAGGAGACAGAAGAAGAAUGACAGCUGAACGUCAACUCUGUUAAAAGCUGUGAAGCUAGAAAGUGUGUGUGAGCUGCUGUGA